GACGAACGCUGGCGGCGUGCUUAACACAUGCAAGUCGAGCGGUAAGGCCCUUUCGGGGGUACACGAGCGGCGAACGGGUGAGUAACACGUGGGUGACCUGCCCUUACGCUCUGGGAUAAGCCUGGGAAACUGGGUCUAAUACCGGAUAUGACUCCAUGACGCAUGGGUUGUGGGGGUGGAAAGCCUUGUGCGGCUAGGGAUGGGCCCGCGGCCUAUCAGCUUGUUGGUGGGGGUGA
rnacentral:rRNA from 1 species